CAGGGAACAAGGGGCCAGAUGGCAAGCAGACAUGUGCUUAAGGCUGGGUUGAGAACUGCUACUUAAAAGGAUGUUGAAAAUGAAACUGACUCUAAAACCUACUUGAAGCAAACUUCUGGAAGAGAGAGAUCAGAAGCAAGCACCAAAAGGAAGAGGAAUACCACUUAAGUUAAUAAACACAGCCAAAUGGCUGAGUGCAUCCCCCUAUAAGCUAACAGGCUUCUACUGAGUAAUUGGCACAGGAGAGAUUCUGAUCUUACAGUAGUAGCUCAGGACAGCAUUGAAGACAAUGCCUCAGUAGAAGUAUGAUAACAGGAAAGAUUUUGAGUCUAGGGUGUGUGCAAAGAGAUCAAAACUUCACAAAAUGCUAUAAAAGGCUUUGAGCAGCCAGGUUCUUUUAUGUUUGCAAUGUUUCAUCAC
rnacentral:lncRNA from 1 species